rnacentral:piRNA from 1 species
GUGGGUACAUGACUGCAGGUGGGAG